rnacentral:rRNA from 1 species
AUGGACAUCACCAUGUUAAGAGUCCGUUCGGCGAGUGACACGUGCAACAUCUACUUCACAUACACAAAGGUGAAUCAUCUCCUUUACACGUGCUCACUUGACCCCUUCGAGGAUGGUAUACUACUUGAGACUCCACUCGUGUGCAUGCAUAUGUAUUGUCGGAAUGGUACGGAUGACGAGGAGGAGUGCGAGCGCAAGUGUACAACUACACCAUCCGUGAGGGAAGCAUGGAAGCGAAGACGGAAGAAGGAGCUGCAGAGUCUACAGCGACCCGACGACCGGAAGCCGCCGGACGUCCGACACUCUCUAGCGCCCGGACGACUGACGUCCACCGGACGUCCGACGCGACCACGCCAGGACCAGCCAGGAGAUCUACAGCGGCCGGACGACCGACAACCUCCGGACGUCCAACAAGUCCCAGCGCCCGGACGACCGACGCCGACCGGAUGA